CCUGCGGAGGGAUCAUUACUGAGUUUACGCUCUACAACCCUUUGUGAACAUACCUAUAACUGUUGCUUCGGCGGGUAGGGUCUCCGCGACCCUCCCGGCCUCCCGCCUCCGGGCGGGUCGGCGCCCGCCGGAGGAUAACCAAACUCUGAUUUAACGACGUUUCUUCUGAGUGGUACAAGCAAAUAAUCAAAACUUUUAACAACGGAUCUCUUGGUUCUGGCAUCGAUGAAGAACGCAGCGAAAUGCGAUAAGUAAUGUGAAUUGCAGAAUUCAGUGAAUCAUCGAAUCUUUGAACGCACAUUGCGCCCGCCAGCAUUCUGGCGGGCAUGCCUGUUCGAGCGUCAUUUCAACCCUCAAGCUCUGCUUGGUGUUGGGGCCCUACAGCUGAUGUAGGCCCUCAAAGGUAGUGGCGGACCCUCUCGGAGCCUCCUUUGCGUAGUAACUUUACGUCUCGCACUGGGAUCCGGAGGGACUCUUGCCGUAAAACCCCCAAUUUUCCAAAGGUUGACCUCGGAUCAGGUAGGAAUACCCGCUGAACUUAAGCAUAUCAAAAG
rnacentral:rRNA from 1 species